UACGUAGGGUGCGAGCGUUGUCCGGAAUUAUUGGGCGUAAAGAGCUUGUAGGCGGUCUGUCGCGUCUGCUGUGAAAAUCCGGGGCUCAACCCCGGACUUGCAGUGGGUACGGGCAGACUAGAGUGUGGUAGGGGAGACUGGAAUUCCUGGUGUAGCGGUGAAAUGCGCAGAUAUCAGGAGGAACACCGAUGGCGAAGGCAGGUCUCUGGGCCACUACUGACGCUGAUGCGCGAAAGCGUGGGGAGCAAACGGG
rnacentral:rRNA from 1 species